CUCACACACACCCUAGUGAGGUCCCCCAGCAAAGCUUCAGCCCCAGUGCCUUCUCCAGCCUCCAGACCUUUCCGCUAUAGCACUCCCCCUAGCGCCAACAGGGCGGGGGCAUCUCCUCCUUCUCCGGAGUCCCGGCCGAAGUCCAUCUCCAAGCCAUCCUUCCGCUCCCAGGGGAUCACUGUGCAGUUCUCCGGACGGGGAGUGACGGAUGAGUCGCGCAGAGAAGCUCUCCGGAAACUGGGGCUGCUGAAAGACACUUUCUAACUCUCUGCAAAACCUCCAUUGAGCUUCCAGGUGGACAGACAUAACGAAGGCCUCUGGAGUUUUUCUGAAAGGGUGUGAGGCGUGGCAGGAGAGGAUACCUACAUUACUGUGGAAUGAAACAGGAUCCGGGCUGAAACCGGCACACCUGGUUCUGAGCGCUGACAAACGAGUCCGACACGUCACAUGGCCUGGUUGACAAAUGAGCACACAUACGUUUUACAGAUACACACACGCGGACAUGUAUACACACACAUUCGUCAAACAGACAUACACGUGCACAUGCACUCAUACCCACAAAUACAUUCACCCAACAACUCACACACUUAUAUGCAUCAAAGCGCUGUCUCUUAAAUUGUGCUCUAUUUAACUGUAGUCCUACUAAGUGUUUUACAUUGUCUCUGAAUCAAGACAUAUUGUACUUUACAGUAUACAUGUACCUCUAUUGUUCUCUGGGCCAAAACAGACAAAAAAAACAGACCUGUGCAAAGGGGAAUGCAGACAGCUGAAUGUCUUUGGCAUUGGCACAUUUGGCAGAGACAGACUUUUUACUACCUUUGCCACCUUCUGAUGUCACAUCCUCAGCUACCAGUGAGAAUCCUUACAUGCUCUCACUCUCCAAAGAUGGAUUUAUAUACCCAGUAUAUUUACAUUUACUUUGUAUGACACUAUAUUGAUUACUGAUCAGUUUGAGGCGGGUACUGAUAAAGUGAACUUGAAUCAUUAUAAACUGGCUGUGAUAUUGACUCUGUUUCUGGCUAGCUGAUUAAUGUAUAUAUGCUACUUGUGUUGCUUGCAUUGUUCCAUGUUGGUUUAUUUAUUAAGUUCACUCCCUGUACGUGCUUCCCAACUCCCUGCGUACACGUUACACUCAUCUAUUAGAAUGUAUCUAUAUUUCCUGUGAGGACGGUAACCAUCAAACUCAUAAAUAUUGAUGAUAUCCUACUUGAUAAGUAUUUAUGCACCCAUUGAUUUCCACUGCUGCCUUAUGGUAUGUUAAAGACAGGUCACUCGGAAGGGGGUACAUUCCCCCAUGCAAGAGCAAAGCUUAGAAACUUAACAAUUGAUUGGCAUACCAAGUAAACUAAGCAGCAAUUAAAAUAGUUUGCAUUCAUGUACCUCAUAUGCUCAGCUCGAAGGAUAUCAAAUUAUUGGAAGUUCUGAAGUGACCCCCAUGUGUUAAUCUCCUCAUAGGACAUUUUUGUGAAUGUAUGUUACAGAAAAGAGGGAGUGCAAGACAGGCUUGAGUUUCUAGGAAAGGAGUGAUAUGUAACUACAGCGCUGGUUAAAGUGUAUUUUUACUCCAUGGACAUACCUCCCACACAAAACCACUAAAUGUGGUUUGAAAUGUAGACUUUUACUACUUCGAGGGAAAAAACUUAACUUUGUGAGGACGGGCAAGGGCUUGCAAUGUCCAAAACACAAACACUGAAGCCACAGAAUCCAGAAAUACUCACAAGGACCAUUUUUUCUUGUUUUGCCCUUCUUUUGUUCAUGAACUGUAUGCUGAACUUGCAUUUGCAAUAUGUCAUUUAACUGUCAUCAUAACUGAUGCCUCUUGUUUCUCGCUGGACUGCAGAUAUAUUGGUACAUAACCCUGUGUGUGUGUGUGUGUGUGUGUGUGUGUGUGUGUGUGUGUGUGUGUGUGUGUGUGUGUGUGUGUGUGUGUGUGUGUGUGUGUGUGAAACAUGUUUGUCCAUUUUUAAAGUUUUUUUUAAUGAAAAAAGUCAGACUCCGGUUUUGUAGUUCAUCUACAGUAACUCAUGAAGUAUCUAAUACACACAAACACACACUUGGAAAAUAUACCUGUAGUUUGCAGACCCAGAGAGAGAAUCCAAAAAGACUCACAUACAAAAUCUUUAUUUGACAUUCAAUUAACAUUUACAAAUUGUCAACAAAAGUUGCUGCAAUGGUACAACAGCGCCUUUAUAGAUUUUGCUCAUUGUCAUAUUGUACACAACGUUUAAUGUACAUCUGUGUCACCUAAUAAAGAGAGUAAUAUACAUGACUUA
rnacentral:lncRNA from 1 species